AAUUAAUAAUUUUGCAUUUAAAAAACAGCCAAAAGUACGAAAUACCUCAUUUUUUUUGAAGUACGAAAACAUAUAUUAUUAUAACAAGUGACCAUAUAAUUAUUGCAAAGACUUAAAAAAAAAUGUUGUUACAUAUGUGACAAGGUUUUUGUUACAUAGGCUGAUUAUAUGUAUCAUUAUAAUCAGUGUUUUUACCCCUCAUAUUUUUGUGAAUUGUAUGGACUUAUUUUAAUAUCGUAUGUAGGUACCAUUUUAAAAUAUUACGAUGUUUAAUUUCUAAUUUAAAAUGUCAAUAAAAUGUAAAUAUAUGUACAUGAUACAUAAAACUACUUUUAUUUAUUUGUAUUAUAAUCGAAAUAAAAUCAUGCUGUAUCCGCUAAUAAAAGAAGUUUUUAAUAAUCUCAGCAGACUUUUACAUUAAUUAGUUUUAAAUACCAAAGCCUUGAUUUAAUAUCACCAGUUCUGAAUGAACGAUGGGCUCCCUUGCUAUUUAGUUCCCGGCCCCAAAAAAUACUUAAUCCGGCGUUUAAUAUCACAUUCAUCGUAAAAAAAA
rnacentral:lncRNA from 1 species